AUGUACAUUCAUACAACAUAGCAUUAAUGCAGCGUAUCCCAUUAGAACUCCACAGUUAAGUGCACUUAGGCUAGUGUGGUACUAGGAUUGGUGACCGCCCAGGAAGUCCUAGUGUUUUACAUG
rfam:Picea glauca, whole genome shotgun sequence.